CUUACUGCAGCAUGUAAGAAAACAAAGAAACAAUGGAAGCCCCAACCAACGAUCCAAGAACAGGCAAGGUAGCGGCAGCCACGCUGGAAUCCGGUCCUGAUGCUGGAGCGGAACCAGGAGAGGAGCUAGGACUAGAACCACCGGCUGAAGGGGCAGGAGAUGGUGCACCGGCAGCCAUGACGGCGCUCAUUGAGGCGGCAGCAACAAUGAUGGCGGUGGAGACCUUCUUCAUGUCCAUGGCGUAUAAAGUGAUUAUUAAACGCACCGGAAAGGAGAGGGACCUGCGUUUAAUUACCGGUGAAUGGGGAUCCGCCGAUGAUUGUUAUUAUUUGCUUUGUUAUUGCAGGUCUGAAGAACAAUGAUGGUGGGGAGGAUCUUUUAUAGGUGAAAAUUCAUGGCUAUUUUUAGUGACGAAAUUUUUUAAAAAAAUUACGUGUUUGGUUUUCGCAUGGUUUGCGGGAUAGACAUGCAAUUUUUUUAAAUAUUUUUUUAACGAUUUUGACUGGUUUUUAGAUAAGGAGAUUUUUGAUAAAUUAUAAUAAGAAGGGAAUUUUUUUUUUUGGUAACAAGAAAAGGAUUAAAAAACUAACAAGAAAUAUAUAACGGGAUUCGAACACCCAGACAUGCUAUCCAUCCUUACAAGAUGACUGACUAAAGAAGGGGCACUAUGAAAUAUCUGUGUGCCAACCGGUGCUUCUUUCAUCAUACUAGCCAACGAGUGUGCUAUAGAGUUAACUUCUCUUGGGAUCUAUUUGAAGACAACAUUUAAAUCACAACUUAUUAACUCUCGAAUUAUAAGAGCUAAAUCUCUCUGAACACACCCUCUCAAUUCGCCAGUUAUUCCUUUAAAGGCAAGUACACAAUCUGUUUCCACUAAGAUAUCUCGCCAUUGGGCAUCCCAUGCCAUAAUAAGCCCAUUAUAGAUCACCUAAAGCUCCGCUUGCUCCACACCACACCUACCAAUAUUUCUACUUACUCCAUGAGUCCAAUUGCCAAAUUCAUCUCUCACCACUGCUGCCGAAGCUGCCAAACUCAAUACUGGAUCAUGGGCCCUAUCAGUAUUCAGUUUAAUGGUACCCGUCGGAAGAGGGAUCCAUCGGGUACACCUAGUUUGUCUUCUGGAACAAUCAUCCGGUCUUCCAGCUGUGCACUUAGAGCAUUAACCUAAUUCCAUGAAGAGUGAAGGAUAAAAUCUUUACUAAACGAAACAUCCUGGAACACAUACAAACAUCUAUGUUUCCAAAUCUUCCAACAGGGUAUACCAAAGAGAGACCUUCAAUCAAGUUCAUGAAAAACUAAGCCAAAUACAUUCCUCAACUUAACCCUUAGCCAGUCUUUAGCAAGUAAGAGAAGAAACGAUGCAAUAAUCUCGGAGGAAUAACCUGCUCUCAAAUAUCUCUUACCUUACAACAAUCCUUUAAGGAAUGAAUAAUAGAUUCAUUUUUACAUCUGCAAAACUUACAAGAAGAAGAAUCUGACAUACCUCUUCUACAAUGUUCCACAUUAGUUAAUAAGCGUUCCUUGAAAACCAUCCAAAGAAAUUGUCUUACACGUUGUGGCCUUGCAAAAGACCACACGAUUUUCCAACUAUCUUACGAAGGAUUCAAGGCAUCUUUACUGAGAAAAUUAUAGGUAGACUUAACUGAUAAACUCCCAUUAAAAUAUCAUUGUGAUAUCAUUGAAUCGGGACCAACUAGGCAAUUAGGAACUGGAAUACCUGCAAUGUAAGAUAAAAUAAUAUCAUCUAAGAAACAUCUUAGGUACUGCCGGUUCCAAUCCUCGUCCAUCGACACCAUUUCCCUAAGAGAAAUGGAUUCAUUAAUAAGCGAGAUGAUAUGGCAAAAAUUAAUCAAAGGUCCAACCUCAAUGACCCAAUUAUCAGUCCAAAAUUUGAUACGAUUACCAUCACCCGCAAACCAUGCAACACAUUUGCGCAAAAGUGGCCAAAUCUUAGCAAGUUAUCUCCAAAGAAAGGAACAACAAUUCUUUGUAAUGUCAACCAGGAAAUCAUCAACUAUUUUGUAUUUAGCUCUCAGGAAAAUAACCCAUAAAGCUUUUUUAUUUGUGAGGAAAUUAAACCCCAAUUUAUUAUUACCUCUUUUACAAUUAUAUAAGAACAUAUUUAAAAUAUAAUUUAAAAAAACUAAUUAAUCUAAACCCAAUACGUUCCCUAACCCGAGCCCUAGCUAAAUCCCUAUAGCUAAAUUAAACCCUAAAUCCUUAACUCCUAAUAACCCCUAAGUGCUAACCCCAACCCUAACCCCUAAACAUUAUAUCUCAGCCCUUAAACCAUAUCCCUAAAUCCAAUAUAUAUACUCCUAAUCAAUUAUAAUAAUAACCUUAAAAUAGUAACCCCUAAAUUAACUGACCUAAAAUCUUAAAUUAAUAAUAUCAUAUAUAUAUAUACCCCUAAAACCUAAAACCCUAAAUUAACUAUAGUGAUGAUACGCUUAAUUCAAUAUUUUAAAUUUAAAUUAAUACUAUCUCUUUUAAUUACGAUAAUAAUUUCAAAUUUUUAAUAUAUAAAUUAAAAAACAAUUAGUAAUCAUGUACCCAACAAACUUUAAAAUUAUUUUAAAUAAUAGUAUUUUAAUUUUUCCAUGUGUUUUAUUUCAAAUUAUUUAUACCUGUUAUUUUUUCUUGAAGAUUUUAAAUAUUCUAUUAGAAAUAAGUUUAAUUUCAUUUAAAUAAUAUAAAUAAUAGUUCAAUUAAGAUAAAUUGUUUUUGUGGCGCUUCAACAAAAACGCCGCUAAAACACCUAGAUUAGCGGAGAUUUUCAAAAAACGCCACUAAAAGUCUUAGCAUUAGCGGCGCUAUAUUAAAAGCGCCGCUAAAAACACUGACCAUUAGCGGCGCUUUUUAAAAAACACAGCUAAUAACCAGAGCAUUAGCGGCGCUUUACUAAAAACGCCACUAAUUCGUCCGAAAGGCCAGCAAACGACGCCGUUUGCUUUUAAUAUUUGUGGUGUUUUCCAAGAAAAUGCCACUAUUUGUUAUUUUUUGCGGCGAUUUUCCUAAAAUGCCGCUAUUUCUCGAUUAUUAGCGGCGUUUUUGGUCCAAACACCGCUAAAAGUGCUGCUAAAAGCCUAUUUUGGUGUAGUGCAACUUGAGUAGAAAAGAGUCGUUCUGGACUGUAAACCUCCUGAUACCUAAACCUCCAUUAGAAAGUGGUUGGCAACAAUCAUUCCACCUAACUAAAGAAGGCUGUUGAUUUGUAUUGGAACUCCCCCAAAUAAAACCUUAAGCUCUAUUUUCAAUCUCAUUACAGACAGAAAUAGGAAUCUUAACAGAUUGCAUGAAGUAGUUAGGGAUUGAUAGCAAGACUGAUCGUGCCAAAAUGACUCGACCUACCAUUGAAAGUGGCUUAGCAUCCCAACUAUCCAACUUCCUCCAGAUCUUGUCAAUAAGUUCAUUGUAACUCGUCGAUGAAAUAACGGUACACCCAAAUAAAAAUCCAAAUCACCAGUCAUGCUAAAUCCCAAUGUACUACAAAUUUAGCAGAAACAUUAACCUCAAUAAUCUUUGAAAAGAAAAUGUUAGUUUUUGGCCCAUUGACUUUAUGCCCCGACGCUGCUCCAAAAAGCCUUAGAACAUUCCGAAUUCUUAUAGCUUGAUUCAUAUAUGUGACACUGGCGGCCCAUUUUUACCAACUGAAAAAGUUUCCACGUCUUAUCCUUAACCUCUUUAUGAGUAAGCAGUCCCAGUCUCUCCAUACAUAGAACGAAAAUAUACGAAGAUAAUGGGCAUCCCUACCGGAUACUUCUCGUUGGUUGGAAUUCCUCCGUAGUAUUACCAUUCCACAUGAUCUGCAUAGACGGAGUAGAAACACAGUUCAUAAUAACAUUUGAUAAGGACGAAGGAAUACCUGUAUCCAAUAAAGUGUUUGCAAUAAAGUCCCACCGAAUCCUGUCAUAGGCUUUCUCGAGAUCCACCUUAAUAGCCAUCCAACUCUUCUUGCCUUUCUUAGUUCGUAUAGAGUGAACUAUCUCUUGGGCAAUGAUAAUGUUGUCAGUUAUCUAUCUUCCUGCAACAAAACUUACUUGAUUCUGAGCAAUGAGAAGAGGGAAAACAAGUUUGAAUCGAUUGGCUAUUACCUUUGUUACAAUCUUAUACUAGACAUUACAGAGGCUAAUUGGCCGGUAUUGGGAUAAGGACUCCGGAUUAUAAGUUUUCGGAAUAAGGACCAACAAUGUCUUGUCUAUCGAAUGAUCGAGAGGAGACCCUGAGAACUCACUUCGAACCCAACUGCAAACAUGAAAACCAACAAUACUCCAUUGACUCUAAUAGAAUAACGCAUGAAGCUCAUUCGGUCCCGAGGCAUUCAAGGGACCCAUGCUAAAAAGAGCAUUGCAAAUUUCCUCAUCUGACACAUCCAUAGUCAAUGAAUCAAUAGAAUUUUGCACCAACUUUGGAAACCGACCCCGCAACGGAAACAAGAAAUGAGCUUGAUCAUCCAACGAGUAAAGAGAUGAAGAAUAACGAAUUGCUUCCUCCUACAAGAUCACAUCAUCAUAACACCAAGAGUCUCCCACUUUCAAAGUUAAAAUCUUAUUGAAAUUACGCAUUCGGAUCGUUUUAUUAUGGAAAUAUUUAGUGUUGCGAUCACCAAACUAGGCCUAAUCCACUCUCGACUUUUGUCUCCUUAGGCUUUCUUCUUCAUCCAAGACCGUUUCAUACUCAAUCCACAAGUCGUGUUCCCGAUUCAAAAGGAAAAUGGAAGACCUCCUAUCUGGAGCAGCUUGAACCUUAGCAAUACGAUUAGCUAGAAGCCUUUUCCUAUGACCAAUGUGACCAUAAAUCUCAAAGUUCCACUUUCUGAAAACCUCCAUCAAAGAGGCAAGAUUGUGUGCAAUAUUUGGCCCAAACCUCCAUUUUUCUCGAACAAGUUUAUCAAAAUUCGGAUUAUUAAUCCAAGAAGCCAAGAAAUGGAAUGGCCUUACACAACGAACAGAACUAGGAUUAGUCAUAGAAAUGAUAAUAGGCCUAUGAUCUGACUUCAGCCGUGGAAGGUGAAACACCAAGGCAUCAGAAAAGGUAUGACACCACUCACCAUUACCAAUGGCUCGAUCCAAUCGAAUAUGUUUUAAUAUUGAAUGAUAAUGAAUUUUUAUUUAAAUUUAAUUAAAUUAUUUGAAUAUGUUUUAUUUUUUUCAUUAUUAUUUUUAAAAUUGUAAAAUUUGAUUUAGACGGAUAUGAUUUUUUUUUUACGAAACGGGUUGUGAGGUGGAAUUAAUGUGUAUUAAUUCCAUGGAUUUUAUAUUUAUUUAUUUUGAAUGGAUAUUUUUUAAUUAAAACCUAAAGUAAAGUGAGACGAUUCUAAUCAUUUAUAUGUAAAUAUUAUAUAAUAAGAUGUACUUAAAAAAAUAUUAUGUACUAUGAUAAAUGUAGAUUUAUUCAUGGAUCGGACUAUUCGGCCCGGUCUAAAGGCCCACCUAAAAAUUGGAAAGAUUUGAAUAAAAAUAUAAAUUCAAAAAAUGGGCUUAGUAAAAAAAAAAAUAUAUAUAUAUAUAUAUACGUCCUUAUGCAUUGGUAACAAUGUCUAUGACAAUUGAGCUAAGAUUCAACCGACUAAUUCCAUAAAUUUUAUAUUUAUUAAUUUUGAAUAGAUAAUUUUCUAAACUAAAACCGUAAUGCUAAAGUAAAGCGAGAUGAUUCUGAUAAUUUAUAUGUAAAUAUUAUAGUUAUAUGCAAAUAUUAUAUAAUAAGAUGUACUAAAAAAUAUUAUAUACCAUGAUAAAUGGUCGGUAAGUUUUUGUGGAGAUGAAUAUAAGACUAUAAAGGUAAAAUUGUUAGUUAAGCUCCUAUACAUAGGGGAAGAUUGCAUUUCAGCCCUUUUAUUGAAAAAAUGAGCAAACUAGUCUUUAUAUAUUUCGAAAUAUACAAAUUAGCUUGUCCGUUUCUUUUUGUAUCAAGACUUAAUCAUAGACUGGGUCAUUCGGUCCAACUCAAAGGCAUGUCCAAAAAGUUCAGACUCUUCAGAAUUAAUAAAAGCACAAGUUAGAUAUAUGAUAAAGUUAUAAUUUAACCCCAAAAUUGUUAAAACUUCAAUUUAAUCAUUUUAAAUACCAUAAAAUAUAAUUAAAUAAGUAUUUUAACUCUCAUAAAAAUAUAUAUUUUUUAAUCUCGCCGUGCAUUUAUCUAAUUACAUACUAGUUAUUAGUUUGUUAUUUUCAUCUUAUUCAUUGCUAUUAGUUGAAUAAAUCGAAAACGCAUAAACACAAAAUAUUAUUCAAAGCUCCAUUUUAUUCAAAUUUUUUCAGUAUUCAUCACAUGUUUCUUUCAAAAAGAAUAAAAUAAAACAUUCGUUCACAUGUUCAUUUUUCAUAUAUGUAGCUUAUUGUAGCAUGUAAGAAAACAAAGAAACAAUGGAGGCCCCAACCAAUGAUCCAAGAACAGGCAAGGUUGUGGCAGCCAUGCUGGAAUCCGGUCCUGAUGCUGGAGCGGAACCAGGAGAGGAGCUAGGACUAGAACCACCGGCUGAAGGGGCAGGAGAUGGAGCACCGGCAGCCAUGACGGCGCUCAUUGAGGCGGCAGCAACAAUGAUGGCGGUGGAGACCUUCUUCAUGUCCAUGGCGUAUAAAGUGAUUAUUAAACGCACCGGAAAUGAAUGAGACCUGCGUUUAAUUACAGGGAUCCGCCGGUGAUUGUUAUUAUUUGCUUUGUUAUUUCAGGUCUGAAGAACAAUGAUGGUGGGGAGGAUCUUUUAUAGGUGAAAAUUCAUGGCUAUUUUUAGUGACGAAUUUUUUUUUUAAAAUUACGUGUUUGGUUCUCGCAUGGUUUGCGGGAUAGACAUGCAAAUUUUUUAAAUAUUUUUUUAACGAUUUUGACUGGAUUUUUUAGAUAGGGGGAUUUUAAUAUUUUUUUAAGAGAAAGAGAGUAGUAAAUUAACUGUAAUUACAUCAACAUCAUCUUGCAAAUUAUUUAGAAUGGAAGUAUCAAUUGUUGGGGAGAAAAAACAAAUUAAUGGAGACCCAAUUAUUGUCAAACAUCAUUUCAACCAAGGCAUUAGUCACUCCGUUAGAUUUCCUUAAAUAUGCUUGAUGUGAACCGCGCAAAGUUCUUUUAUUCUGCAUACUAGUUCCCUUUUCACUAAACCUUUAUAGUCACCAUUAAUUGCUUGAACUAUAGUUAAACAAUCAUAGCCAAAUAUCCAUCUACCAUGGUUGUCUCUAGCAAACUCAGCUGAGCAGGCAAGUUUGAUAUAAGGUUUCGCUGCACCGUCUAUGUUCAUUUUGACGCAAUCAAUUAUUGGUUGCUGUUAGGUGUUUGGUUCAAUUCAAUUUUUAACCUUAAUCAUUGGUUCCCUAUUAUGUUUAACAGUCACAACUCAACUCCAAGCCGAUCUUACAAGCAUACUAAAAUUAUGAGGAACAUUUUCAAAAACAAAAGAAUUCUUUUGUUUCCAUACAAACUAGCAUAGUAUACCUCACAGGUGAUUCAAUUAACAUCUUUGAAAUGUAAAUUUAGUUUAUUAGAAAGGUUGACAUUCACCCAAGAUAAAAGUGACGGACAUAAGAACUUGGAGUAAAAUGAAAUCGGAAUGAACUAUCCUCAGCUUUGGAACAAUCAUGAAGUACAUGAAAUAAAUUUCUUCUACAAAUCCACAAAUGCAUCCGUCAAUCCGCGUCUUUCCAUACUAUUAUAUUUUAAUAGUAAAAUAGACCACAAAAUUAACAUGAGUCAAAUUUGAAGUUUUUUCUAAAUUCAGAAAGUACAAAGAAAAUGCAAUUAUAAAACAACUAUAAAUAUAUGUCCAAUCAAUUAUAAUAAAGAAUUCAAUUAAUUACAACUAUAAAAUAAAUACAAAUAUAUUUAAACACCCUCUUUGUCUUCAUUCCUAUCUUCACCCUCUUUAGUGGUAGGAGGCAAAAGGAGGGGGUUGAUAAGGGCUUUACACCCUCUCUUAAAUGGGUUUGGACUCUCAAAAAUUCAUAAAAACAUAAGUUAAAUAUAAGGUAAACUGUAAAAAUAGUCACUUUUGUUUGUAUUAGAUUAUAUUUUAGUCAUUUAUAUUUGAAAUGUUACGUUUUAGUCUUUUACAUUAUCAUUUUGUUAUGAAGUAGUCACUCUGCCGUUCAGCUCCAUUACCUCCCUAACGACAAUCCUAUGUGGGAUAGUCACUUUUGUUUGUCUUAUAAUACAUUUUAGUCACUUCUAUUUGAAAUGUUAUGUUUUAGUCACUUGUAUUAUCGUUUUGUUACGAAGUAAUCACUUUGUCAUUCAUCUCCGUUACCUUCCUAACAACAACCCUAGAUGGCAGUCUAAAUGGGUUUUAAAUGCCAACUUGGAUGUCCAACUGGGAUGAGAAUAGUUUUUUUUAGUCAAAAUGAAAAAAAAUCUAAAAGAAAAAGGAGACGAACGGUUUUUGUUUUCCAAUUCAAUGUGUAAUUAAUUUAAAAUUUACAAUUAAUUAAAUUUAGUUAAUUAAAAACCUAUUCUCGUACCAAUUAGGCAUCCAAGUUGGCAUUUAAAAUCGAUUUGGACUACCACUUAGGAUUGCCGUUAGAGAGAUAACGGAGUUUAAUGGCAGAGUGACCACUUUCUAACAAACGAUAACGUAACAUUUCAAAUAUAAGUGACUAAAAUGUAACCUAAGGCAAACAAAAGUGACUAUUUUUAUAAUUUACCCUUAAAUAUAUGAUAAAUUAUAAGUUAACCCCAAAAUUGCUAAAUUUUCAAUUUAAUCAUUUUAAAUACCAUAAAAUAUAAUUAAAUACGUAUUUUAACUCUAAUAAAAUAUAUACUUUAACCUUUAUUUCCCUAAAAAAAAAUUUCCAACUUCCCCCUGCAUUUAUCUAUUUACAUACCAUUUAUUAGUUCAAUAAUUCAUUGUUAUUUUCAUGUUAUUAGUUGAAUAAAUCGAAAAGUAAAAGCAUAAAAACAAAAUACUUUUCAAAGCUCCAUUUCAAUUUUUUCAAUAUUCAUCACAUGUUUCUUACAAAAAAUAAUAAAUAAAAUAAAAUAUUCGUUCACAUGUUCAUUUUUGAUACAUGUAGCUUACUGCAGCAUGUAAGAAAACAAAGAAACAAUGGAAGCCCCAACCAAUGAUCCAAGAACAGGCAAGGUUGCGGCAGCCACGCUGGAAUCUGGUGCUGAUGCUGUGACGGAAGCAGGAGAGGAGCUAGGACUAGAACCACCGGCGGAAGGGGAAGGAGCAGGUGCACCGGCAGCCAUGACGGCGCUCAUUGAGGCAGCAGCAACAAUGAUGGCGGUGGAGACCUUCUUCAUGUCCAUGGCGUAUAAAGGGAUUAUUAAAC
rnacentral:lncRNA from 1 species